CUUGAGGCAUGCAAGUCGUACGAGAACGUCCCUUCGGGGACUAGUAAAGUGGCGGACGGUUGAGUAACGCGUAGGAAUCUACCCAGUAGUGGGGGACAACCCGGGGGAAACUCGGGCUAAUACCGCAUACACCCUACGGGGAAAAGAGGGGCCUCUGUUUUCAUUGCUCUCGCUAUUGGAGGAGCCUGCGUCGGAUUAGCUUGUUGGUAGGGUAAUGGCCUACCAAGGCGACGAUCCGUAGCUGGUCUGAGAGGACGACCAGCCAGACUGGGACUGAGACACGGCCCAGACUCCUACGGGAGGCAGCAGCCAGGAAUAUUGGACAAUGGGCGCAAGCCUGAUCCAGCCAUGCCGCGUGUGUGAUGAAGGCCUUCGGGUCGUAAAGCACUUUCAGGAGCGAAGAAAAGCACUCGGAUAAUACCCGAGUGUCUUGACGUUAACUCCAGAAGAAGGACCGGCUAACUCCGUG
rnacentral:rRNA from 1 species